GCCAAUUGCAACAACAAUUUUGCAACUCUUGGUUGAUUAAUCCAAUUAAUCUGCGUCCUUAAAUCAUUCUUGGUCGCUUUGCGUUCAAAAAUAAUUUAAGCAAGUCAACCCCAUCACACGGUGCCAACCUAUGAAUGAGUCUUGGCCUUGUCGAUUUAGAGCAUACAAUUUUAUGUAAAUACCCUUGGACGAAAAUGUUAGGUACUCAAACAAUUAUGAUGGACGACGCGUUUUGUGCUUUGCACAAAGACUUAUAUUUAAUGGGGAUUUAGCAUGUGAUAGCAAUUGCUUAUAUUUAAUAUCCAAUAUUAAAUAGCAAAGCAAUUACUGGGUGCCGCCUACUCAGGCAUAUAAAAUGCGGACCACACAUAUUGGGCGCCGCCUACCCAUACAUAGCAAAGCGGACUACAUAUACUGGGCGCUGCCUACCCAAGAUAAAAGCGGUCUUUAACUACUAUAGUUAAAUAAUAAGCAUAAAAUCAAAUAGCAUGCUUAUCACAUAAAGACAUAAAACCUCUACGAAUAAAAUCAUUAAUCAAAUUAAUAUUUAAUUUUCUAAUUAAAUAUGGGUUAAUCAAUUUAUAUUAAUUCUAAAUUAAUAUAACCUUAUUUCUAUUAUUAUUAGUUCAAAAUUAAUAACAAUAAUUUAAAUUUAUUAAUCCAAUUAAUAAAUUAAUUUUGAAAUUUGGGGUUCAAUUAUUAAUUCAAAAUUAAUAAAAGUUUUUUUUUUUUUUUUAUGUCACAGCCCCAAAUGGGCAUUUAAUAAAAUGCAGGCCCAGCCCCAUUUAUUAUGUCAAUUUCGCAACCCAUGGAAGUCCACAGCAGCAGCCCACAAAAGGAACAGGCCCAGCCUUUGAACACUGCAGCCCAACAACUCCUCUUGGCCCAAAACCCAAUUUUCAGCAGCAAGGGUUUGAGAAAAGGAUUUGCAGCAGCAGCUGCCGUCUCCUUUCUCGUCACCACGCCGCCGCCGCUCGAAGCCACGAUGCAGACGACGUCGCGCGACCUCGUAAGCGACGACGUCUCCAGACGCUUGCCUGCGUCCUCACCGUUUCUCGGCCAUUCCGGCGGAAGGAGCAUGAAGCUCCUCGUCGCCGUUUACAGCCGUGGAUCCGCCGCCUCCAGCGUGCAAGACCUCCACCAACAGUCGCCCUCCAUUUUUCUGACUCCAAGCCCGAGAUGGCGGGACUGCCACAGGGAUGCAGCGGCGCGUCGGCUUGAAGCAUAUGAUUGAGGGCCCGCAGAAAUGCCUUUCCAAGGGAGACUUUGUCAUUUCGUCCUCCACUUGCAAAAAUAAAGUAGAUAAUCCAUUGGCUUUAUUGUAAAAGGAAAACAUAUGGUUGGUCAAUAAUGAAUAGUUUAUCUCUCUGUCUUCUAAACUA